rnacentral:tRNA from 1 species
AACAAGUAGGUGUUUUGGCACGGGGGUUUUUGGUUCCUCAGGGCGUCGGUCAUGUGGCGAUUUGUUA